UACGUAGGGGGCAAGCGUUGUCCGGAAUCAUUGGGCGUAAAGCGCGCGUAGGCGGCCCGGUAAGUCCGCUGUAAAAGUCCAGGGCUCAACCCUGGAAAGCCGGUGGAUACUGUCGGGCUAGAGUCCGGAAGAGGCGAGUGGAAUUCCUGGUGUAGCGGUGGAAUGCGCAGAUAUCAGGAGGAACACCAAUGGCGAAGGCAGCUCGCUGGGACGGUACUGACGCUAAGGCGCGAAAGCGUGGGGAGCGAACAGG
rnacentral:rRNA from 1 species